rnacentral:rRNA from 1 species
AAGUCGAACGCUUCUUUCCUCCCGAGUGCUUGCACUCAAUUGGAAAGAGGAGUGGCGGACGGGUGAGUAACACGUGGGUAACCUACCCAUCAGAGGGGGAUAACACUUGGAAACAGGUGCUAAUACCGCAUAACAGUUUAUGCCGCAUGGCAUAAGAGUAAAAGGCGCUUUCGGGUGUCGCUGAUGGAUGGACCCGCGGUGCAUUAGCUAGUUGGUGAGGUAACGGCUCACCAAGGCCACGAUGCAUAGCCGACCUGAGAGGGUGAUCGGCCACACUGGGACUGAGACACGGCCCAGACUCCUACGGGAGGCAGCAGUAGGGAAUCUUCGGCAAUGGACGAAAGUCUGACCGAGCAACGCCGCGUGAGUGAAGAAGGUUUUCGGAUCGUAAAACUCUGUUGUUAGAGAAGAACAAGGACGUUAGUAACUGAACGUCCCCUGACGGUAUCUAACCAGAAAGUCGCGGCUAACUACGUGCCAGCAGCCGCGGUAAUACGUAGGUGGCAAGCGUUGUCCGGAUUUAUUGGGCGUAAAGCGAGCGCAGGCGGUUUCUUAAGUCUGAUGUGAAAGCCCCCGGCUCAACCGGGGAGGGUCAUUGGAAACUGGGAGACUUGAGUGCAGAAGAGGAGAGUGGAAUUCCAUGUGUAGCGGUGAAAUGCGUAGAUAUAUGGAGGAACACCAGUGGCGAAGGCGGCUCUCUGGUCUGUAAC